AUAUAGAUAUAUAUAGAGGAUUAUGUACUAACUAUAUAUAUAGAGAGAGAGAGUCAUGUGCGAACUAGCUCGAAUAAUACGAACUAAGAACUCAUAUGAGCCGUCCACCGCGUUAGAUCUGACGGCCUACACUUUACCCACCUCAUUAAGGGUAUUUUUGUAAUUUCAUCGGUUGAAUGACCUCCCUUCCAAUUCAUGCGCCGCUUAUUUCCUUUCUCUCUCUUCUUCCGCAUUUUCUCUCUCUAUGUUCGAAUUUGCUCAAAGGCGAUUUUUCGCGAUUACAAUUCUUUGCUUGUGCUAAUUAAUUAUUCAGAUUCUUCGAUUUCGAUCUUCUAGUACUUCGUAUUCGUCAAUUUUUGUUAUUCAUUGAGGACUAUGAGAGUGCAUCAAGAACUAGUAUCUGACCCUGCAUUGUGGCUACAAAUAUCAUAAAGUCGCUCCAUGAUUUUUCACAGUAUGCUGCUAAAGUUUUUGGGCCUAUUGAGGUUACAAGUGCUGGUAACUCUGGGUUUGGCGUCUUCCUGCUAUCGGGGCUAUAAAAAUCAAUUCUGAUGCCCACUUGGUUGUUGAAAACCAGGUGGGGUUGGGUGCAGUUCUUAGGAAUGACUCUAGGUAUAUUGUUGCUGUUACUGUAAAGUGCUUGAGGGCAAGGUGGAGUGUGGAGCAUGCUUUAAUUGUCAUGAGGACUAUUAACAUUGUAGAUGUAGGAUAUUCAACUUUGAUACUCUUCUAUGAGGAUGUAAAGAGUCUGAAAUCUUUAUUUACUUUGAGUAUUUUUUUUAUUCACUUUUCUUUUAUUUUUAAUCACUUUAGAAAGACUAAAAAAAUAGAGUGUUUUCAUCCAAGACCCUGACCCUGACCUUGUAAUACUCCUAACAAGCCAAAACAAAAUGAAGUUACCGUAAUUAUAAGAAUUAUGUAUUCAGUAGGUAUUUGGUCAGUAUUAAAGCCAAGAAACAGCACAAAAGAAGAUGGCCCCAACAAUGCAAGGAUUUGCACAGAAUUCAAGCAGACUCCAAAGUGGGAUGGAGGACGCCGUGAUCAAUGUAAUCAACCCAGAUUGUGUACCUAUUUAUUAGGAGUUAGUAACCUAGUUUGUAGUUUGUGAUAGGUGGUUUGCUUCGGUCCCAUCAUCUACACAACCGAAUAGGCUGUACGUGUUAACAAGUAAUGAUACAGGGAAGCUCAUUGCAGGGUUGCCUCGGAAGACCAUAUUCGUGUUUUUUCACAUGUUUACUUUCAAUGAGAUACAUUAUUAGUUUAAUAAGUAUAUUUCCAAUGUAUGUGUUUAUAAUGUUGGCUCUUUGGCAUUGAUCAAAUGGCAUCAGUAGUAGCAUUAUGUGUUCA